UGUUUGAUGUUCUAACGUUGACCCGUAAUCCGGGUUGCGGACAGUGUCUGGUGGGUAGUUUGACUGGGGCGGUCUCCUCCUAAAGAGUAACGGAGGAGCACGAAGGUUGGCUAAUCCUGGUCGGACAUCAGGAGGUUAGUGCAAUGGCAUAAGCCAGCUUGACUGCGAGCGUGACGGCGCGAGCAGGUGCGAAAGCAGGUCAUAGUGAUCCGGUGGUUCUGAAUGGAAGGGCCAUCGCUCAACGGAUAAAAGGUACUCCGGGGAUAACAGGCUGAUACCGCCCAAGAGUUCAUAUCGACGGCGGUGUUUGGCACCUCGAUGUCGGCUCAUCACAUCCUGGGGCUGAAGUAGGUCCCAAGGGUAUGGCUGUUCGCCAUUUAAAGUGGUACGCGAGCUGGGUUUAGAACGUCGUGAGACAGUUCGGUCCCUAUCUGCCGUGGGCGCUGGAGAACUGAGGG
rnacentral:rRNA from 1 species